CCUUUGUCUUUAUAUAUACUCACACCUUUAUUUCUUCUUCUUCUUUCUGUCUACAAAUCUCUCUGCCUACAAAUCUCUCAACUCUCACAAUCUCCUCACUUUCCCCCAAAUCUAAACCCUAAACCUGGGGUUCCACCAUGACCAGCGGCACCGAAGAACGCAAACACCGUCGCACCUUCGACGACGAAUCGGAAGAACUGUCCAAACGCCACAAGCACCGCCACCGCCACCACCACCGUCGGCGCCACAACCGUCAUCACAGCCGCAAGCACAACGAUAUACGCGAGGAAGAUGAUGAACAACUUAUGGAUAUAUGCGGUUUUUCUCUUCUGUGAUCCGUGGGCUGUUAAAAGUCUCCUCUCUUCUACUCAAUCAGGAUAUGUGAAGCCCUAAUUAUUCUCCAUGUCUGCUCAUUGCUUCCAUUAACAGAUCAUUGCUGCAUUUGUUGUUCCAGUUAUUAAAGUUCAGGCCUUCAGGUUCAUUGCCUGAUUUGUAAAAAGAAAAUGAAUUCAAACAGAAAGAUUUGAACUCAUGAGCAAUAUGGCUUUGAUAGCAUGAAAUAUUUGAAUCAAAGAACCAAUUGAUAUUGAUAAAAUGGUAUUUUGUGUGUGCUGAAUAAAAAAAAAGUGAACACCAUAUCGCUUUAAGAGUUUACGAUGAACUAAUGAUAAUGAUAAGAGUCCCUACUUUCAUUCGAUGGCCAUGUAAUUUUUUUAAGUAAAGAGUCGGGUCAUAUAUACAAUAUAAAUACGAGUUACUUUAAAUUUCGACGCCGUCGCAACGCGCGGCGGGUCAAAAUACUAGUAUAACAUUAAAAUGAAAGGUCGGUGGCUAUGCCAAUUGACCAUUCUACCCUUUGACAGUGUACAGUUCUUUUGUGUUGGUCUGCUCCUUUCAUUUUCUUCACUACAUCUCAAACAAACCCUACCUGAUCUCCUCCCAACACAGCCCCCACUCCCUCACUCCCACAUCUCCGGCGACCGGAGUAACUCCGACGCUUGGAUUCUCGACGACACCCACCAGCCAAACACCACCCCCCUGUCAGUUGCAGAGCCGACCACCACCAUCGGGUGGUGGUGAGUGACGUUUGGACCAACAAGUGAGAGAGAUCAGAGAGAGAGAGAGAGAGAGGAGAGCCAACGUUGUUCGAGCGGCGACAAGGCUGAGAAGAGAGAGAGACAUAUGGACGAGAGAGAAAGAAGGGCGGCGGCAGCACCGCCGUACACGUCGGUGGUCGGCGGCGGUUCGGAAUGCUUUUCUGGCGACCCACCAGAGAAGAUGGUUCAAAGAAUUGUUGCAGCUUUUACAAUUGCAAAGGUAAAUUUUAUAUGCUUUUGUAUUGUGUUAUUGAACUUUGCAGACCGCAACCGCCACCGGCCGUUCCAUCUGACGAGGAUCCCUCCAUCUCCUUUGUUCGGUUCACCGGCGAGAUGUCCUGGUCUAAAGCCGAUCCGCCACUUCUGAUUCAAAUCAGAGAAGACCAGUUAUGUGGUGGCAACCAGCUUGCUCGCAGCAAAGAGGUCGGGUCCAAUACCAUACCCCAUCAACAACUUUAUUAAAGUUAUGUCUCAAGGCUCUUAAUGAUCGACAUGGUUGUUGCUCUUAAUGAGCUUGAUCGCCAAGAAAAAGUGCAUUUAGCUGUCAAGGUUUAACUCAUCUCUUUUUACUUCAAUGGAUGGUGAUUCAAUUGGUACUUACUAUUAUAUGUGGCAAAAUAGGCUAUCCAGAGGGUGAAUGAGCUUUUUUCUGGGACAAAUGUGUCGAACUAGGGCUGAAUCCAAACUUCUGCAUUGAAGAUGUUGGUAAGGAAGAAAGUGGCUCCGCUCAAUUCCUUAUGCACCGGAUGAAAACUGGUAAAUACUUUGACCCGGUAAUUAACAAAAUCCCAAAAACAAAAAGAAAUUUUAUGAUUAUUCUCUUCAUUAUUAUUUUCUUUCGGGGGUUCGGUUUUGGCGUUAGUUCUGUGUUUUCUGUUUGGUUUGUUAUGGGUUGCUUCUCAUCUUUGGAAUUAGUUUUCGGUUUUGUUAGUAAGUUGUUGGGAAACUUUAGCCAGGUUAACGGGGUGUGGUGUAUUCAUUGACCCAGGUCUAGGAUUUUUUUAAGGAGUAUAAGUGUUUUAAAUUUGGGGAUUAAUGUGUCAAAUAGAAGGUUGUAUUUGAUUCUUUAUUAAUUGCUGAUUGUGGGUAAGGAGUAUAAGUGUUUUAAAUCUGGGGAUUAAUGUGUCAAAUCGAAGGUUGUAUUUGAUUCUUUAUUAAUUGCUAUUUGUGGGUAAUAAGGCUAACAUUGGGGCUUUAAAUACUGCUCAUGGAUUGAACGUGUCAGCCCUCUUUAAGCCUUAAUUUUGGCAGCCCAUCAUAGGCCCAAGAGUGGUAUGAGAAGUCUAUUGACAUAGAUGAUAUGUGAGUGCCAAGUAUGGUCAUGGAGUUAUGAUGUAAAGGAUUAGAUACUAUCAAAACGUUCUUUUGGACUUGCAUUAUAUACCAAGGCAUG